rnacentral:rRNA from 1 species
GUAGGGAAUAUUGGGCAAUGGAUGCAAGUCUGACCCAGCCAUCCCGCGUGCCGGAAGAAGGCCCUCAGGGUUGUAAACGGCUUUUGACGGUGAAGAAUCGACAGGAUGCGUCCUGUUUUGACGGUAGCCGUUGAAUAAGAACCGGCUAACUCCGUGCCAGCAGCCGCGGUAAUACGGAGGGUGCGAGAGUUGUCCGGAUUUAUUGGGUUUAAAGGGUGCGUAGGCUGGAAGGUCAGUCAGCGGUGAAAAGCUGUCGCUUAACGAUAGUCUUGCCGCAGAUACUUCCUUUCUUUGAUGAGGAGGAGGCCACUGGAACGGAUGGUGUAGCGGUGAAAUGCAUAGAUAUCAUCCAGAACACCGAUUGCGAAGGCAGGUGGCUGUACCUUAAUCGACGCUGAUGCACGAAAGCAUGGGGAGCAAACAGGAUUAGAAGCCCUUGUAGUCC